AUACUUACCUGGUAGAGGAGAUACAAUGAUCAAGAAGGGAGACCACUUAGGGUGAGGUACAGUCAUUACACUCCGGCUAUGCUGACCCUUAUGAAUAACCCAAAUGUGUGAACCUCGACUACAUAAUUUGUGGUAGUGGGGGACUGUGUUCGCGCUCUCCCCUG